rnacentral:rRNA from 1 species
GACGAACGCUGGCGGCGUGCUUAACACAUGCAAGUCGAACGGUAAGGCCCUUCGGGGUACACGAGUGGCGAACGGGUGAGUAACACGUGGGUGAUCUGCCCUGCACUUCGGGAUAAGCCUGGGAAACUGGGUCUAAUACCGGAUAGGACCACUGCCUGCAUGGGUGGUGGUGGAAAGCUUUUGCGGUGUGGGAUGGGCCCGCGGCCUAUCAGCUUGUUGGUGGGGUGAUGGCCUACCAAGGCGACGACGGGUAGCCGGCCUGAGAGGGUGACCGGCCACACUGGGACUGAGAUACGGCCCAGACUCCUACGGGAGGCAGCAGUGGGGAAUAUUGCACAAUGGGCGCAAGCCUGAUGCAGCACCGCCGCGUGAGGGAUGACGGCCUUCGGGUUGUAAACCUCUUUUAGUAGGGAAGAAGCGAAAGUGACGGUACCUGCAGAAAAAGCACCGGCUAACUACGUGCCAGCAGCCGCCGUAA